rnacentral:rRNA from 1 species
CCUACGGGAGGCAGCAGUGGGGAAUAUUGGUCAAUGGACGAAAGUCUGAACCAGCAACGUAGCGUGAAUGAUGACUGUCCUCUGAUUGUUAAGCUUUUUUUUUAUGGAAGUAGAUAGUUACGGUACCUUAGUAAUAAGUCUCCGCUAACUACGUGCCAGCAGCCGCGGUAAUCCGUAGGCGGCAAGCGUUAUCCGGAAGGACUGGGUGUAAAGGGUGCGUAGGUGGUUUGGCAAGUUAGUAGCAUAACCCCGGGGCUCAACCUCGGAACUAGUACUAAAACUGUCAGACUUGAGUGCAGGAGGGGCAAGUGGAAUUCGUAGUGUAGCGGUGGAAUGCGUAGAUAUUAGGAAGAACACCAGUGGCGAAGGCGAAUUGCUGGACUGUAACUGACACUGAGGCACGAAAGCGUGGGGAGCAAACAGGAUUAGAUACCCCAGUAGUC